UACGUAGGGGGCAAGCGUUGUCCGGAUUUAUUGGGCGUAAAGAGCGUGUAGGCGGUUUGGUAGGUCCGCUGUGAAAACUCGAGCUCAACCUCGAGACGCCGGUGGAAACCAUCAGACUAGAGUCCGGAAGAGGAGAGUGGAAUUCCUGGUGUAGCGGUGAAAUGCGCAGAUAUCAGGAAGAACACCCGUGGCUAAGGCGGCUCUCUAGGCCUGUGCUGACGCUGGAGGUGACGAAAGCCGUGGGGAGCAAACAGG
rnacentral:rRNA from 1 species